AGCCCGGGCGGAGCGGCCGUCGGUGCAGAU
rnacentral:snRNA from 1 species